GCGAGAAACCUCCGCAAUACACGAAAGUGUGACGGGGUUACCCAAAGUGUUCAAUAGAACUGUGGUAGGUGGGUAAUGUUCCCUACUAGAAAGGAGAGGGCAAGGCUGGUGCCAGCCGCCGCGGUAAAACCAGCUCUUCAAGUGGUCGGGAUAAUUAUUGGGCUUAAAGUGUCCGUAGCCGGUUUAGUAAGUUCCUGGUAAAAUCGGGUAGCUUAACUAUCUAUAUGCUAGGAAUACUACUAUACUAGAGGGCGGGAGAGGUCUGAGGUACUGCAGGGGUAGGG
rnacentral:rRNA from 1 species